AAUGUUAGUGUCCCUCAUGAAUAUUCGUACAGCAAACUGUACAUUGGGAGGAGCUUAAGAUUAAAGCGGUGGAGGAAAUCCUUGUCUGAAAACUUUCAGAGAAAGAAACAUUCAGCUUCCACUGUUGUUAGUUAGAAACUAACUUGAAUAUGUUUGUCUUCUUGUUAAUUGCUGUAUUUCCAGCUCUUAAAGGUUUCAGUUACGGACAAAAAAUCCAACCAAACCAACAUGAGGUAUAUGGAGAAGAAGGUCACCAUGUUACUCUGUCGUGCAACUACUCCUCAGCCCAGAGUCUUCUAUGGUAUAAGCAGCAUCCAGGAUCAGCUCCCCAGUUCCUCCUGCUCAUCCUUCACUUUAGUGGGACAGGAGCUAAGCCUCUGGACUCUCGCCUCUCUGCCAAGCUGAACACAGAGAAGACCUGUGUAGAGCUGGAAAUCUCCUCUGUUAAAGUGACAGACUCUGCUCUUUACUUCUGUGCCUUGCAGUCCACAGUGACAGGAAACCCUGGCACACUGUACAAAGACUUGGCAUUACCUCAGAAUGCUUUUAAAUGUAACUUCACCGAGACCAGCUGACAAUUCUUUGUGAAGAGGAGGAGCUAGAACACAUUGAAUACAAUAAUUUUGACAGAUGAGAUACUGUUUAGCAUUUUUUGGUCAGUCCUACAAACU